GUACUUGCUUUGGUGGUACUUAUAUGAAAAUUGGAAUGAGACAGAGAUGAUUAGCAUGGCCCCUGUGCAAGGAUGACAAGCAAAUUCUAAAAGCAUUUUCUAUUUAA